CCAUGCAUGUCUAAGUUUAAGUACCAUAAACGCGAAACUGCAGAUGGCUCAUUAAAUCAGUCAUAGUUGGAGCAGUCUUUAGCUUUUAGGAUAACCGUGGUAAUUCUAGGGCUAAUACUUAUAGUGCUUGCACUGUGUUUUUGUGGGUCUUUCAUACUGAUGCUUCGGCACGUUUGAAUAACCGCAAAUUCUGAUCGCAUGGCUUCAUGCCGGCGACAAACUGCUCAAAUGUCUGCCCUAUCAGCUUACGUUGGUGGCAUAUGGGGCUACCAUGGCUUUUACGGGUAACGGGGAACAAGGGUUCGGUUCCGGAGAGGGAGCCUGAGAGAUGGCUACCACUUCUAAGGAAGGCAGCAGGCGCGCAAAUUACCCAAUAGCAAUACGCUGAGGUAGUGACAAGAAAUACCAAUAUGGGUCCCCGCAAGGGAUCUGUAAUUGGAAUGAAACCAAUUUAAAACUCUCAAUGAGUACCAAUUGGAGGACAAGUCUGGUGCCAGCACCCGCGGUAAUUCCAGCUCCAAUAGCGUAUAUUAAAGUUGUUGCAGUUAAAACGCUCGUAGUCGGACCAUGACCUCUACAUCGUUGGUCUACCGGAAGGUGUGUACUGACAUGUGGGGGUCCCAGCUCUGUUGAUCUUCCGGUCUUAACUGGCUGGUUGAAAGACGGGGCCUAUUACCUUGAAUAAAUUAGAGUGUUUCAGGCAGGCUUUUUAGCCGGGAUAUAUUAGCAUGGGAUAACGUAAUAAGGCAUGUGCUUUUUUUGUUGGUAUGGGGGGCAUAUGUAAUGAUUAAAAGGGGUGAUCGGGGGCAUCCAUAUUUCAUUGUCAGAGGUGAAAUUCUUAGAUUGGUGAAAGAUGAACUAAUGCGAAAGCACUUGUCUGGGGCACUCCCAUUGAUCAAGAACGAAAGUUAGGGGAUCGAAGACGAUCAGAUACCGUCGUAGUCCUAACCGUAAAUUUUGUCGACCAGAAAUCGCGGGAUGUUACUUGGAUGACUUCCGCAGCAUCUUUCGGGAAACCAGAGUUUUUGGAUUCCGGGGGGAGUAUGGUCGCAAGGCUGAAACUUAAAGGAAUUGACGGAAGGGCACCACCAGGAGUGGAGCCUGCGGCUUAAUUUGACUCAACACGGGAAAACUCACCGAGUCCAGACACAAUAAGGAUUGACAGAUUAAUAGCUCUUUCUUGAUUUUGUGGGUGGUGGUGCAUGGCCGUUCUUAGUUGGUGGAGUGAUUUGUCUGGUUAAUUCCGUUAACGAACGAGACCUUAAUUCUUAAAUAGUGGGGUGAAACUUCUAGCGGGUGAAGUGUGGGGGUGUGGUGGUGGCCUAAAAACCAUUGCUGCCUCCUGCAUGGAUCCUUGAUGCUUUUAUGCUUGCUUCUUAGGAAGACUAUUGGGGAAUACCUAAUGGAAGUUAGGCAAUAACAGGUCUGUAAUGCCCUUAGAUGUCUCGGGCUGCACGCGCGCUACACUAGCAGAGACUAUAGGUAUUUGGUUUAACUUGGCCGACGGGUCUGGUUAAUCCAUAGUGUCUGCUGUGCUGGGGAUAGAUUAUUGUAACUAUUAGUCUUGAACGAGGAAUUCCUAGUAAGCACAAGUCAUCAGCUUGUGCUGAUUACGUCCCUGCCCUUUGUACACACCGCCCGUCGCUCCUACCGAUUGAAUGAUCCGGUGAAAACCUCGGAUAUUGGUGAGUCAACUGGGGGGGAACCUUCAGCCUUGCCUGGUAGAAGUUGUUUAAACCAAAUCAUUUAGAGGAAGGAGAAGUCGUAACAAGG
rnacentral:rRNA from 1 species